AAGGGAGCUUGCUCCCGGAUGUUAGCGGCGGACGGGUGAGUAACACGUGGGUAACCUGCCUGUAAGACUGGGAUAACUCCGGGAAACCGGAGCUAAUACCGGAUAGUUCCUUGAACCGCAUGGUUCAAGGAUGAAAGACGGUUUCGGCUGUCACUUACAGAUGGACCCGCGGCGCAUUAGCUAGUUGGUGAGGUAACGGCUCACCAAGGCGACGAUGCGUAGCCGACCUGAGAGGGUGAUCGGCCACACUGGGACUGAGACACGGCCCAGACUCCUACGGGAGGCAGCAGUAGGGAAUCUUCCGCAAUGGACGAAAGUCUGACGGAGCAACGCCGCGUGAGUGAUGAAGGUUUUCGGAUCGUAAAGCUCUGUUGUUAGGGAAGAACAAGUGCAAGAGUAACUGCUUGCACCUUGACGGUACCUAACCAGAAAGCCACGGCUAACUACGUGCCAGCAGCCGCGGUAAUACGUAGGUGGCAAGCGUUGUCCGGAAUUAUUGGGCGUAAAGGGCUCGCAGGCGGUUUCUUAAGUCUGAUGUGAAAGCCCCCGGCUCAACCGGGGAGGGUCAUUGUAAACUGGGAAACUUGAGUGCAGAGUAGGAGAGUGGAAUUCCACGUGUAGCGGUGAAAUGCGUAGAGAUGUGGAGGAACACCAGUGGCGAAGGCGACUCUCUGGUCUGUAACUGACGCUGAGGAGCGAAAGCGUGGGGAGCGAACAGGAUUAGAUACCCUGGUAGUCCACGCCGUAAACGAUGAGUGCUAAGUGUUAGGGGGUUUCCGCCCCUUAGUGCUGCAGCUAACGCAUUAAGCACUCCGCCUGGGGAGUACGGUCGCAAGACUGAAACUCAAAGGAAUUGACGGGGGCCCGCACAAGCGGUGGAGCAUGUGGUUUAAUUCGAAGCAACGCGAAGAACCUUACCAGGUCUUGACAUCCUCUGACAACCCUAGAGAUAGGGCUUUCCCUUCGGGGACAGAGUGACAGGUGGUGCAUGGUUGUCGUCAGCUCGUGUCGUGAGAUGUUGGGUUAAGUCCCGCAACGAGCGCAACCCUUGAUCUUAGUUGCCAGCAUUCAGUUGGGCACUCUAAGGUGACUGCCGGUGACAAACCGGAGGAAGGUGGGGAUGACGUCAAAUCAUCAUGCCCCUUAUGACCUGGGCUACACACGUGCUACAAUGGACAGAACAAAGGGCUGCGAGACCGCAAGGUUUAGCCAAUCCCACAAAUCUGUUCUCAGUUCGGAUCGCAGUCUGCAACUCGACUGCGUGAAGCUGGAAUCGCUAGUAAUCGCGGAUCAGCAUGCCGCGGUGGAAUAACGUUCCCCGGGCCUUGUACACACCGCCCCGUCACACCACGAGAGUUUGCAACACCCGAAGUCGGUGAGGUAACCUUUA
rnacentral:rRNA from 1 species